GUGACUUGGUGCGUAGGUGGGUUUUAUCCAAGGAAGGUCCUCCCUCCCGAAUAUCCGUAAGGCCGCGAGGCCUAGGCAGGAGACUGCCUCCAACCGGAACAGAAACGAUAUUCCUCUAAGAAUUGAUGAGGAUGAAGACCGUCUGACGAGUCUUAGAGGAAGUGAAACGGCCGGUUGGUACGGGGGAGAAAGACGGGGGUACCCCAAUGAUAUGAGGGGUUAUCCGUCGAUUAGAAUGAUCCUACGUAUAAACAGAAGGAGGACUACGGCCAAGUCAC
rnacentral:RNase_P_RNA from 1 species